rnacentral:rRNA from 1 species
UGGGGAAUUUUGGACAAUGGGCGAAAGCCUGAUCCAGCAAUGCCGCGUGUGUGAAGAAGGCCUUCGGGUUGUAAAGCACUUUUGUCCGGAAAGAAAUCCUUGGCUCUAAUACAGUCGGGGGAUGACGGUACCGGAAGAAUAAGCACCGGCUAACUACGUGCCAGCAGCCGCGGUAAUACGUAGGGUGCAAGCGUUAAUCGGAAUUACUGGGCGUAAAGCGUGCGCAGGCGGUUUGCUAAGACCGAUGUGAAAUCCCCGGGCUCAACCUGGGAACUGCAUUGGUGACUGGCAGGCUAGAGUAUGGCAGAGGGGGGUAGAAUUCCACGUGUAGCAGUGAAAUGCGUAGAGAUGUGGAGGAAUACCGAUGGCGAAGGCAGCCCCCCUGGGCCAAUACUGACGCUCAUGCACGAAAGGCGUGGGGAGCAAAGCAGGAUUAGAUACCCUGGUAGUCCACGCCCUAAACGAUGUCAACUAGUUGUUGGGGAUUCAUUUCCUUAGUAACGUAGCUAACGCGUGAAGUUGACCGCCUGGGGAGUACGGUCGCAAGAUUAAAACUCAAAUGAAUUGACGGGGUCAUAGCUGUUUCCU